GGCCCUUCAAAUUAUUAAAACCAACAAAAAAAAAGAAAAUUAAAGAAAAUUAAAUUUUGACCCAAACAAGCAAGAUCAAUGGCAAAUUGAGGAAGUUUCCAACAUGCCCCAUCAUAGCCCACAAUUUUCCCAUAUUAAUAUUUUAAAUUUUCUUCAUCCUUACCCACUUUUCUACAUUCCACUCCGGCACAUUCAAUACCAACGUCAUAUUCAAAAGCUGUAAACAGUCGCAAUCAGCUUUUCAAGUUCCCUUCUGUAAUGGGAGAAUAAUAAUCAAUAACAGAAAAAAAAUAAAAAUAAAAAUAAACUAUAUUUAUUACAACCUCAUCCAUGAAAAUAUGUAGUAUAUGAUGAUCAUAAUCUCUAUCUAUAAAUGUGGAAGCGUAUAAUCAAGAAACGGGAAAAAAAAAA
rnacentral:misc_RNA from 1 species